rnacentral:lncRNA from 1 species
CAAGGGUCAGGGGGUGCAGGAGAGGAUGUAUUCGCCAGCUGCAUGCGGGAAAACUUAAAAGAGAAAGCUAAGGGCGGGGGUCUUUCACAUCCAGGGAAUUGAUCUCAGGUCAUCAGACUUUGUGGGUGAGUUCCAGCACAGCCAGGGAUACACGGACAGAACCUGUCUCGAGAAAACAAAAGAGACAACAUGCAGAACUCUAACAACUAGCUCUCCCAGCUCCACACAGACUGCCUCAUGUUUGUAUGUGCACCAUAUGUGUGCCUGGAGCCUGCAGAGGUCAGAAGAGGGCAGUGGAUCUCCUGGUCCUGGAGUUACAGCUGUGAACCACCAUGUAGGUGCUGGUAACCAAACCCAGGUCCUCUGCAAGAGCAACAAGUGCUCUUCCCUGCUGAGCCAUCUCUUCA